rnacentral:rRNA from 1 species
UACGUAGGGGGGCAAGCGUUGUCCGGAUUUAUUGGGCGUAAAGAGCGUGUAGGCGGUCUGGUAGGUCCGUUGUGAAAACUCGAGGCUCAACCUCGAGACGCCGAUGGAAACCCUCAGACUAGAGUCCGGAAGAGGAGAGUGGAAUUCCUGGCGUAGCGGUGAAAUGCGCAGAUAUCAGGAAGAACACCCGUGGCUAAGGCGGCUCUCUAGUACGGUACUGACGCUGAGACGCGAAAGCGUGGGGAGCGAACAGG